GGGUAGCCGGCCUGAGAGGGUGACCGGCCACACUGGGACUGAGACACGGCCCAGACUCCUACGGGAGGCAGCAGUGGGGAAUAUUGCGCAAUGGGCGGAAGCCUGACGCAGCGACGCCGCGUGGGGGAUGACGGCCUUCGGGUUGUAAACCUCUUUCAGCAGGGACGAAGCCGGAAGGUGACGGUACCUGCAGAAGAAGCACCGGCCAACUACGUGCCAGCAGCCGCGGUAAUACGUAGGGUGCAAGCGUUGUCCGGAAUUAUUGGGCGUAAAGAGCUCGUAGGCGGUUUGUUGCGUCGGCUGUGAAAACCUGAGGCUCAACCUCAGGCCUGCAGUCGAUACGAGCAAACUAGAGUGUUGCAGGGGAGACUGGAAUUCCUGGUGUAGCGGUGAAAUGCGCAGAUAUCAGAGGAACACCGGUGGCGAAGCGGGUCUCUGGGCAGCAACUGACGCUGAGGAGCGAAAGCGUGGGGAGCGAACAGAUAAAUACCUGGUAGUCCACGCCGUAAACGUUGGGCGCUAGGGGGGGGGCAUUCCCCGUUUUCCGUGCCGCAGUUACGCAUUAAGCGCCCCGCUUGGGAGUACGGCCGCCAAGGCUAAACUCAAGGAAUUGACGGGGCCCGCACAAGCGGCGGAGCAUGUUUGCUUAAUUCGAUGCAACGCGAAGAACCUUACCUAGGCUUGACAUGCACGGAAAAGCGGCAGAGAUGUCGUGUCCUUUUAGGGUCGUGCACAGGUGGUGCAUGGUUGUCGUCAGCUCGUGUCGUGAGAUGUUGGGUUAAGUCCCGCAACGAGCGCAACCCUCGUUCCAUGUUGCCAGCACGUGAUGGUGGGGACUCAUGGGAGACUGCCGGGGUCAACUCGGAGGAAGGUGGGGAUGACGUCAAAUCAUCAUGCCCCUUAUGUCUAGGGCUGCAAACAUGCUACAAUGGCCGGUACAAAGGGCUGCGAUACCGCGAGGUGGAGCGAAUCCCAAAAAGCCGGUCUCAGUUCGGAUUGGGGUCUGCAACUCGACCCCAUGAAGUUGG
rnacentral:rRNA from 1 species